rnacentral:lncRNA from 1 species
AAAAAAUGUAAAAAUAGAAUAUAUUUCUAAAGAAAUUCAAUUCAAUCACAAGGAAAAAAAAAGGAAAAAACAAUGUGAAAGUGUCAUCUCCUUUUCAAGCCCAUUCAUCACUGGAUUGGAAAAAAAUGAAUUCACCAUAAUGAUAUGUUUCAAGAUAGACAAGAAAAUAAAUCUGAAUUCUCAAAAUAUGAAAGAAAUGACAAAUAACUCUAUUAUCAAUUAGGCAACAACAGUGGUGAUUUCCUAAUGAGGAGAAAAGGCAAAUUCAGCCAUAGCUAAUGAGGAUGCAUUUCUUUCAAUGAGGAUGUCUGCUAUCUUGUUGGAUUUGGAUUUAAUGAUCAGUAUACUGUAGUACCUACACAACCCACCUGAAUUUUUCUGGAAUUCAUCCCAUCACCAUUGAUAAUGGGGUCUGCAACACCUCUCCAUGUAGUGGUCUUCCCUUUCAUGGCACAAGGCCAUACCCUCCCUAUGCUAGACCUCUCCAAGCUCCUAGCUUGCCGCGGUCUCAAGGUCACCAUCAUCACCACCCCUGCAAAUUUUCCAGGCAUCCAUUCUAAAGUCUCUAAAAACCCAGAAAUCUCUAUUUCUGUAAUACCAUUUCCUAGAGUUGAGGGACCACUAGAAGGAGUAGAGAACACUGUUGACCUUCCCUCAGAAGACCUGCGCGCUCCUUUCAUCGAGGUGAUCAAGAAGCUUAAAGAACCCUUUGAGGAGAUCCUCAGAGGUAUGUUUGAGGCUGGGUGUCCACCCAUUGGCGUAAUCUCUGACUUCUUCCUAGGCUGGACGCUCGACUCAUGCAACUCUUUUGGCAUUCCUAGGAUUGUUACUUAUGGUAUGAGCGCCCUAUCUCAAGCAAUACUGAUUAUAUCAGGCUUCCACACUCCAUAUAUUUUGGCAUCAUUGCCUGAGGAUCCUGUACAGUUUCCUGAGUUACCAACCCCAUUCCAGGUAACACGAGCAGACUUCUUGCACCUGAAACAUGACCCCAGAGGCAGUCUAAUGUCCUCUAUAAUUCAAGAGUUCACAGAGGCAGAUUUAAAGAGCUGGGGGCUCCUUGUUAAUAGCUUUGAAGAUAUCGAAAGAGAGCAUAUAGCUGCUUUGGAAUCACUCUAUAGUACGGAAGCCAAAGCAUGGUGUGUUGGCCCUCUACUGCUUUGUAAUCCAAUCAAAGAAAAAGAAGAAGACGCCAAUGAGCCACAAGCUGGGAAUCAAACUUCCGAUCCAUGCAUUGAAUGGCUCAACAAACAAAUAGGGUAUGAGACUGUGCUUUACAUAUCAUUUGGAUCAGAAGCACAUGUAAGUGAUGAGCAGUUGGAUGAGAUAGCUCUUGGGCUGGAGAUGGCCAUGCACCCAUUCAUCUGGGUGGUAAAAUCCAGGAAUUGGGUGGCACCAGAGGGAUGGGAGGAAAGGGUGAAGGAGAGAGGCUUGAUUGUGAGAGGCUGGGUGGAGCAGUGUAGAAUACUAGCACACCCAAAAACAGGAGGGUUCUUGAGCCACUGUGGCUGGAACUCAGUGUUAGAGGGCUUGUCAAUGGGGGUGCCACUGCUGGCUUGGCCAAUGGCAGCUGAACAACCAUUCAAUGCCAAGAUAGUUGCAGACUGGUUAGGAGCUGGAAUAAGAAUUCUAGAACUGAGUGAGUGUUCUCAAACCAUUGGAAGUGAGAUAAUCUGUGAUAAAAUAAAGGAGUUGAUGGAGGGAGAAAAGGGGAGGAAGGCUAGGGCAAGGGCACAGGAGGUGAAGAGAAUGGCAAGGCAAGCUAUGAAGAAAGGUGGAUCUUCCGAUAGGAAUUUGAAUGAACUAAUCGAAAGUUUGGCUCGUAGAAGAAAGCAUAUAACCUAGGUGUUUCACCAUCAAUAUUGUUCAUCUAUAUGUUCACCAUUCAGGUUUCUACCUACAUUUAUUCAUUAUAUGCCAAUACAUAAACAGAACAUACAAGAUGCUACAUGCAACUAGAAUGGUUCUCAAUGCUACAUUAUGUCCUUUUAAGACAUGUAAACAAGCUGUCUGGAUAUAAAACAAGGAUAAAAUUGAGUCAAAUCACAUUGAUAUCUGUAUUGCAACUAGUGAGAGAUUGAAUAAUGAGGCUUACUUCUAAUAUGUAUUGAAAAAUAAAGUUACAAACUCAUACAAAUACCAAGUUAAUUAAGGUUAGUUAGUACAUGAUUUAGAAGUUGCAGAAAUGCCAAGUACAUUUCCAGGAGAAUUCUGGGUGUUUUUCUUUUUCGGCUAAAGAAAUGGGCAGAUUGAUUGCAAGCAGAUCAUGAAUUAAAUAUGCAACCAAUCACAGUGAUUAGUAAUGUACCCACUUGAUCAAACAAAUUUACCAAAAACUGCUUAACUGUUCAUAAGUGAAAUUCGUUACCUAAUAUUCUGGUAACUAUUGGUAACUAUAUGACUUUAUCUUGCUUAGUUGUUCACUAAACUCUAAUCUUUGUUGGAAGUCAUGAGAGUUAACAAUCACUAUAUAAAGAAAUAAAAAGGAGUUAAACUCAAUCUAUUCUUAGGCUGUACUUUAAACAUCUUUCUCACAAGGACAAAGAUAGUUGACAUGGACACCACACCAUUCUGAAACUUCUUGUGAUGUCUGUGUUUUGAUGAGCCCACCCAUGGUUUAGAACCCUAAACAUGCAUGCCAUGCAUGUCAAACACCACGCUGAAAAGGUUUUAUUCACAUUUGUAUGGAUUUAUUCAUUCGUAAACUGCAUUUUCUAAUCUUGCAUAUAACAACAAACAUGAUUUAAAUAUUUAAUUUAUUCCAGACCAGUGAAUAUUAAUUAUAAAUGGUAUAAUUAGGUUUAGUUCAUUGAAAAAAUGUUACUUACGUGGAGUUGGUCAUUUGCAUAGCAGAAAAUAUCAAGCAUUUUUGAGGGAUUGAACAGAAUAGUCAUAAGAUGCCUCACUAAUACUUACUGAAAGAACAGAAAGUAUCAUUACAUUUUAACAGGGAGUUGGAAAGAGUAUGCUUGAAUGCUAAAUUAUUGUUUGGUUGUUUGGUUGUUAGUUUUCUCACUACUUCCUUGGUUUCUAAACGAGCAAGUGUUGUGUAAUCACAUAAAGCGACAUUCAUAAAAACAAGCCCAUAAUAAAAGCUUCGAUGAAGUUCAUUCAGGUGAGCAUCACAUAAGACGAAUAUCAAACUUUCAGAAGCUCCAAUAAAGUGACAUCUAUAAGAUCAUGGUAAAUGCUAUGCGAGGAGAAAACGAUUAUCCUAUUCAACUUAAGACAUUGAAGAUUACCGUAAAAUACUAUAAGAAUGGAAUAAAUGAAUCAUGCUAUAAUUCAAUCCAAUCAAAUACUCAAAAUUAUAUACAAUUCAAUCCAAUCAGAGACUUAAAAUCAUAUAUUUAGCUUUUUUUUCUUUCUCUAUAUACUUUUUUAUGAUCAACAGAGUGGAAAGCCUAAAAUAUGAGAUGGGGAUAUCAGAACUUCUUCUACUCUCUCCAAUAAGGACAAUAAGGAAGGUUACAAAGAUGACAACUUGACAUUGAAAAUUAGCAAAAAAUACUAUAAAAAUAGAUUAUAUUUCUGACAAUAAGGAAGGUUAUAUAGAUGCCAAUCUUAGACAUUGAAAAUUUAAAAAGAAAUACUAUAAAAAUAGAAUAUAUUUCUGAAUAAAUUCAAUUCAAUCAACAAUCCCAUAUCAUAUUUUAACUAAAAAAGCACAAGAAAAAGAAAAAGAAAAAGAAUCUGAAAAAGUCAUCUCCUUUCAAACCCAUUCAUCACUGGACUUCAACAUUGCCAACAUGCUUACAAUAAUUCAAACGAAAAAAAGAAGUUUUCUUGAUGAUAUAUUUCAUAGACAGAUAAGAAAAUACCUCUGAAUUUACAAAAUAUGAAGAAGAACUCUAUUUUAAUUAGGCAACAACAAUGAUGAUUUCCUAAUAAGGAGAAAAAGCAAAUUCAGCCAUAACUAAUGAGGAUACAUUCUCUCAAUGAGUAUGUCUGCUAUCUUGUUGGAUUUGAAUUUAAUGAUCAGUAUAAUAUGGUAUUUAUAGAACCCACUUGAAUAUUUCUGAAAUCCUAGAAACUGUAGGGGUUGUCACCAUUGAUAAUGGGGUCUGCACCACCUCUCCAUGUAGUGGUCUUCCCUUUCAUGGCACAAGGCCAUACCCUCCCUAUGCUAGACCUCUCCAAGCUCCUAGCUCGCU